GAUGAACGCUGGCGGCGUGCUUAACACAUGCAAGUCGAACGGAAAGGCCCAAGCUUGCUUGGGUACUCGAGUGGCGAACGGGUGAGUAACACGUGGGUGAUCUGCCCUGCACUUCGGGAUAAGCCUGGGAAACUGGGUCUAAUACCGGAUAGGACCACUUCUUGGAUGUUGUGGUGGAAAGUUUUUUCGGUGUGGGAUGAGCUCGCGGCCUAUCAGCUUGUUUGUGGGGUAAUGGCCUACCAAGGCGUCGACGGGUAGCCGGCCUGAGAGGGUGUACGGCCACAUUGGGACUGAGAUACGGCCCAGACUCCUACGGGAGGCAGCAGUGGGGAAUAUUGCACAAUGGGCGCAAGCCUGAUGCAGCGACGCCGCGUGGGGGAUGACGGCCUUCGGGUUGGAAACUCCUUUCGAUAGGGAAGAAGCGUUUUGUGACGGUACCUGGAGAAGAAGCACCGGCUAACUACGUG
rnacentral:rRNA from 1 species